UGAACCUCUGGAGGGCAGAAAAGAUCCUGCAGGUCCAACAUCAACACAAACCAUGUUCUCUACAGCUCUGCUGCUCCUGCUGGCAGCUGCUUCCUGUGUUCACAGUGAAGAACUGACUCAGCCUGGAUCCAUGAUCAUCCGUCCAGGUCAGAGUCUGACCAUCAACUGUAAAGUUUCAUAUUCAGUUUCUAGCUAUUCUACAGCCUGGAUCAAACAACCUGCAGGAAAAGCUCUGGAGUGGAUUGGACGCUUCUACUGGGGUGGUAGCACAGACUACAAUAAUAAACUGAAAAACAAGUUCAGCAUCUCCAGAGACACUGGAACUAACACAGUAACAUUACAAGGACAGAACCUGCAGACUGAAGAUACAGCUGUGUAUUACUGCGCAAGAGACACACAGUGAUACACACUAAUGCACCCAUCAUACAAAAACCCUUUGGCAUGUAGAGUUUGAGUUAUUCAUUAAAUAUAAUGAACACAUGUUCAUUCAAUUAUCCUUAUUAAUAUACUAAUUACAUAAAGCCUAAA